rnacentral:rRNA from 1 species
GAAGGUGUGCUGUGAGGCAUGCUGGAGGUAUCAGAAGUGCGAAUGCUGACAUAAGUAACGAUAAAGCGGGUGAAAAGCCCGCUCGCCGGAAGACCAAGGGUUCCUGUCCAACGUUAAUCGGGGCAGGGUGAGUCGACCCCUAAGGCGAGGCCGAAAGGCGUAGUCGAUGGGAAACAGGUUAAUAUUCCUGUACUUGGUGUUACUGCGAAGGGGGGACGGAGAAGGCUAUGUUGGCCGGGCGACGGUUGUCCCGGUUUAAGCGUGUAGGCUGGUUUUCCAGGCAAAUCCGGAAAAUCAAGGCUGAGGCGUGAUGACGAGGCACUACGGUGCUGAAGCAACAAAUGCCCUGCUUCCAGGAAAAGCCUCUAAGCAUCAGGUAACAUCAAAUCGUACCCCAAACCGACACAGGUGGUCAGGUAGAGAAUACCAAGGCGCUUGAGAGAACUCGGGUGAAGGAACUAGGCAAAAUGGUGCCGUAACUUCGGGAGAAGGCACGCUGAUAUGUAGGUGAAGUCCCUCGCGGAUGGAGCUGAAAUCAGUCGAAGAUACCAGCUGGCUGCAACUGUUUAUUAAAAACACAGCACUGUGCAAACACGAAAGUGGACGUAUACGGUGUGACGCCUGCCCGGUGCCGGAAGGUUAAUUGAUGGGGUUAGCGCAAGCGAAGCUCUUGAUCGAAGCCCCGGUAAACGGCGGCCGUAACUAUAACGGUCCUAAGGUAGCGAAAUUCCUUGUCGGGUAAGUUCCGACCUGCACGAAUGGCGUAAUGAUGGCCAGGCUGUCUCCACCCGAGACUCAGUGAAAUUGAACUCGCUGUGAAGAUGCAGUGUACCCGCGGCAAGACGGAAAGACCCCGUGAACCUUUACUAUAGCUUGACACUGAACAUUGAGCCUUGAUGUGUAGGAUAGGUGGGAGGCUUUGAAGUGUGGACGCCAGUCUGCAUGGAGCCGACCUUGAAAUACCACCCUUUAAUGUUUGAUGUUCUAACGUGGACCCGUAAUCCGGGUUGCGGACAGUGUCUGGUGGGUAGUUUGACUGGGGCGGUCUCCUCCUAAAGAGUAACGGAGGAGCACGAAGGUUGGCUAAUCCUGGUCGGACAUCAGGAGGUUAGUGCAAUGGCAUAAGCCAGCUUGACUGCGAGCGUGACGGCGCGAGCAGGUGCGAAAGCAGGUCAUAGUGAUCCGGUGGUUCUGAAUGGAAGGGCCAUCGCUCAACGGAUAAAAGGUACUCCGGGGAUAACAGGCUGAUACCGCCCAAGAGUUCAUAUCGACGGCGGUGUUUGGCACCUCGAUGUCGGCUCAUCACAUCCUGGGGCUGAAGUAGGUCCCAAGGGUAUGGCUGUUCGCCAUUUAAAGUGGUACGCGAGCUGGGUUUAGAACGUCGUGAGACAGUUCGGUCCCUAUCUGCCGUGGGCGCUGGAGAAUUGAGGGGGGCUGCUCCUAGUACGAGAGGACCGGAGUGGACGCAUCACUGGUGUUCGGGUUGUCAUGCCAAUGGCACUGCCCGGUAGCUAAAUGCGGAAGAGAUAAGUGCUGAAAGCAUCUAAGCACGAAACUUGCCCCGAGAUGAGUUCUCCCUGACUCCUUGA